GGCAGUCUUGGUAAUGGCCAUCAACGGGUACCUUUUGGUGAGCUUCUUCUCAUCGGAAGUGAACGGAGUGCUCGUUGCCAUUUUUGUAUUUGUCUUCAUCGCUGCAUAUCUUGCCUUUGUUGUCUACCUCGUCUAUCAAAGCAUUUCGUUUUCAAGUUGGCACAACUUCAUUAAUCGGAAGACUUACACGGCCAAUGGAAA
rnacentral:misc_RNA from 1 species